AUGCUCGCAUUAGCCAAAUUGAGAAUGAUACUACCUCAAUCAUAUCCCCUGAAGAAACCGAAAAGCUGUUACAAAUGAAGGGGGUGGUUCCUGUUGGACGUGCAGCCUCAUGGUUAGCUCGUGUAGCAGAAAAAUUUGUAGGGCGCCGAAAGGUGCAUGUCCCACUUAAUGUACACCAAAACCAUUGGAUGCUAAUGAUGUUUAAUUUUGACAAAAAAGAAAUUCAGACUCUGAACUUCAUGAAUUAUCAUUGCGAGAAGACCAAGGAAGAUUCUCUUGUGGACUCGAUUCAGUUCUGCAUCGACGAAGCUGUCAAGAAUGGGUUGAUAUCACCAGCUAAGAACAUCAAUUUUGCCGAAUGGACCAAAAAACGCUAUGAGAAC